CUAUUAGAGUUCAUUCACACAUUGAAGAGUUACAUACAGGUCUCACUCCUUAUCUUUUUAACUUCCCCACCUGUGUUUUCAUGGACAGUUAAUUGUGUUCAUCAGCUCGGUGUGCCGGAAGAGCUACAGACUUCCCCAGUUCUUGUUCGACAUCAACCUGGGAGUAUUCCUUGACUAAGUCGUUCAGCUCUUGGCAGAACAAUCAGAUUCCCUAUUGUACCCCGAAGCUGGUCAAUCACAGCUGCACUCUUACACCACCCGCCUACAGCCUUUGUGUCUGUAACACAUCCACAAACGCUCUGGAAUAAACACAAAAUUUCUACGUUGCUCUGUUGAUCUCAGCAAUGCAGUGAAACAGGUCGGUCUCCUGCAUGGAGGAGGCAUCAUUUUCAAAAAUAUGCACAGGCAUCAGAAACAUAUGCAUCAUUCCCAAGACUUGGGAAGCUGACUUGAGCUUAGAAAACUCCAGGAAAGUUCUUCAGUUUCUCUGAGGAAGAGAUUGGCUGAGUGAAACCAUGUCAAAUAGGUGGAGCGAGUGACAUCUAAGUAAACACAGAUCCCCAGAUGGCUACCCACCGGCCUCCUGUCCCUGAAGCUCUCCUCCGAGUAGACAUUGCUUCAGAACAACUCUGGAGCCAACACUGACGUCAAACAAGAGUACAUGUGGAAUGACCCAUAGCUCCAGCUGCAUAUAUAGCAGAGGAUGGCAUUGUCUGGCAUCAAUAGAAGGAGAAGCCCUUGGUCCUGUGAAGACUGGAUGCUCCAGUGAAAUACAUCUUUGCCUUUGAACAAUACGAGGCCUAAGUGUCAUGUGACUUAGCAUCCUGGCUGCAUGUGUCAUGCAUAAUUUCCUUCACUUUAAUAGUACUGUGUUUAUUUUUAAAAGAAAAAGAACUAGAAAAUAUUAUCCUUAUAAAAGAGACACAUGGUAUGUACUCACU
rnacentral:sRNA from 1 species